rnacentral:rRNA from 1 species
AUCAUUUGUGUUGAAUCUUGGAUAGUAAAAGGUAUAAAUCCGUUAUGGGAUGAGCUUGCGUAGGAUUAGGUAGUUGGUGAGAUAAAAGCUCACCAAGCCAAAGAUCUUUAGCUGGUUUGAGAGGAUGAUCAGCCACACUGGGACUGAGACACGGCCCAGACGCUUUCGAGCGGCAGCAGUGAGGAAUUUUGGACAAUGGGCGAAAGCUUGAUCCAGCUAUAUGGCGUGAGUGAUGACGACUGUUUUGGUUGUAAAACUCUUUACUCAUAUACAGAUUAUGACAAAGUAUGAGGAAAAAGUCCCGGCCAAUCUCGUGCCAGCAGCCGCGGUAAUACGAGAGGGGCAAGCGUUAUUCGGAAUGAUUGGGCGUAAAGCGCAUGUAGAUGGUUUAUAAACUCUCUGCCUGUAAACUCAAGGCUUUACUUUGAGCAUGGGCAUUACAGAGUUAUAAUCUUGAGUAAGUAAAAGAAAAUGGAAUUCCUGGAGGAGAGGUAAAAUUUGUUGAUCUCAGGAGGAACACCUAAGCGAAGGCAAUUUUCUAGGACUUGACUGACAUUGAGAUGCGAAAGCGUGGGGAUC